rnacentral:rRNA from 1 species
CCUACGGGUGGCAGCAGUGGGGAAUAUUGCACAAUGGGCGCAAGCCUGAUGCAGCGACGCCGCGUGCGGGAUGGAGGCCUUCGGGUUGUAAACCGCUUUUGUUCAAGGGCAAGGCACGGUCUUUGGCCGAGUUGAGUGGAUUGUUCGAAUACGAACCGGCUAACUACGUUCCAGCAGCCGCGGUACUACGUAGGGUGCAAGCGUUAUCCGGUUUUAUUGGGGGUAAAGGGCUCGUAGGCGGUUCGUCGCGUGCGGUGUGAAAGUCCAUCGCUUAACGGGGGAUCCGCGCGGGGUACGGGCGGGCUUGAGGGCGGGAGGGGAGACUGGAAUUCCCGGUGUAACGGUGGAAUGUGUAGAUAUCGGGAAGAACACCAGUGGCGAAGGCAGGUCUCUGGGCCGUUACUGACGCUGAGGAGCGAAAGCGUGGGGAGCGAACAGGAUUAGAUACCCUAGUAGUC